CCCACACCACUACCUCAUUGAUAAACCAUGGUUAAACCGUAAUGUUUAACAAUGCCUUUUGCUUACAGAAUUCCAGGAACUGGCCUCGGGAGAUCUAAAUAGCAAAUACACGUUGCAGAUUUACAACCUUGUUGCCAUCAGCCAGACAACCAGGUGGCCCAUUAUUCAAGAUAAUCAUCACAACCAGAUAUGCUGACCAGCAUACCCUCCCCGCAACCCAGCUGGAGCACCUUAUCUGUGAUGUCAAUUCCUACACUUUGCAUAAUAAAAACUCCCUGAGUGCUUUGUCAGGAAGUCAGCCAGAGGAUCCUUCCACCUUUGCUAUCUUCCUUGUGUUUGAGCACAAGCCCUGAAAUAAAACCCUUCUCUG
rnacentral:lncRNA from 1 species